rnacentral:rRNA from 1 species
UACGUAGGGUGCGAGCGUUGUCCGGAAUUAUUGGGCGUAAAGAGCUCGUAGGCGGCCUGUCGCGUCUGCUGUGAAAUCCCGGGGCUUAACUCCGGGACUGCAGUGGAUACGGGCAGGCUAGAGUCCGGCAGGGGAGACUGGGAUUCCUGGUGUAGCGGUGAAAUGCGCAGAUAUCAGGAGGAACACCGGUGGCGAAGGCGGGUCUCUGGGCCAUAACUGACGCUGAGAAGCGAAAGCGUGGGGAGCGAACAGG